CCCCAUGGCUGGGCCUCGGGGGAGGUGAGGACAGGCUUCCAAAAGGAGAGGAUGCUUAUUGCUGCCUCAUGAAGGAUGGGUAAGAGUUAGGGAGGCAAAAGUCGGGAGGGACUAGCAGAGGAAAGCUCAUGUGUAAAAGGACAGAGGUACCAUUUAUUCAGUAAGUAUUUACUGAACACCUAAUGUGGAUCAGGCACAGUUCUAGGCACAGGGAAUACAGCAAUGAACCAAAGCCGAAAAUCGGUGCCCUCAUGGAGCUUACAGUGUAGUGGUGGGGGCUGGGCACAGACCACAAGCAAACACAUCGGUAAUGUGUCAGAUGGUAACAAGUACUAUAAGCAGAGAGGAGAGAUAGAGAGUACUUGGGGGGGGGGGGCAUUGCAAUAUUAAAUAUGAGGAUCAAGAAAGGCCUCAAUGAGGAUAUGACCUUCCUCAAGCAAUGACCUGAAGAAUGUGGAGGAAGGAGCCAUGUGGGUAUCUGUGUUCCAAGCAAAGGCAGUGGCUCAUGCAAAGGCCCUGAGGCAGGAGCCUCUCUGGCAUGUUUAAGUUCAGCAGGAAGAUCAGCGGAGUGGAGGGGAAGAAUUGGACUGAAGUGGGAGCAGGAGCCAGACCAAGAAAAGUCUCGGAUGCCAUCGAGAGGAGGAUGGAUUUUCUUCUGAAGGUGACAGGUUAUUCUAUCAGCCACCAGGAAAAACCCAGAGAUCUUCUGUAAGACGUUGCCCCCACCUGAAGCGUGUGCUAUGUGCGCAGAAUGAACAGGUUGUUUCUGGGUGGCUGUGUCCAGUGCGUGCUGCUCCCAUUAAUCAGUACAAAUACUGGUCCUUUUUCGCCUGCAAGAUGUGUGCUUUGGAGAUGAGCUAACAAAGGCACAGAAGGGCUGAGCGACGCACUGAAAGUUGCACAGCUUGUAUGGGACAGUCAGGCCCAGCUCUGUCUGUCUGCAAAGCCCAUACUCUGCAGGCUGCUUUAGACUGAGGCUCCCAUAACACUCCCAGAAAGGAGAAUUCGAGCAUCCCGCUUCUCCUGUCUCCGCCCUCACACCUGCUCUGCCGAGGUACCUGAGGGGCUCAGAAGACCUGCACAGGGUCCCUGGGGUCUUAUCAGCAAAGGCGCAGCCAGAGUGAUGUGUCCUGGAAUAAGGGCUGGCGUUUCAUCGAGAACUUGCCCAAGAGACACUUUUGGGUGGUUAGGUGAGAGACUUAUUUAUGGGGCUGCCCGGGGCAUCCCAGACCUCUAUCCAGGGUGGAGGAAAGCCAGGCGUCAGCCUCAGACAGCAGGAGACUCAAGACACACGAUGGAAACCGCGCUGACACCUUCGCCUUCCCGCGCGCUUGGUUGCCUAGCAACCGAAAGUGACGAGCUGCCAACUCACUGAUGCGAUCGCAGUGGGGAGAUCAGAUUCCUCUUCCCUACCAACCUGUGAGCUUGAGGACCAAGACCCCGUGAGAGGCAGUGCAAUAAAGAGCACAGUGUUGGAGCCAGACCUGCCGCACUUCAAAUCUCAAAGGCUGCAUGACUUCGGGCAAGCAAAGAACAACCGGAGGCUGAGAUCAAGUUGACGUGCUGGUUAACCCAUGUCUCCUUUGGAAGUGUCCACCUGUCCCAGGUCCUGUCCAACAGACAGCACUGUUUGUACCGCAUGAUCCACCCUUGUGGCCACAGCUGAUUGCACCAGGAUGAGAGAAAACUGAGACACAGAACAUUGAGGUGACUCGCCAGAGGCCACACAGCUCAUAGGUGCCCGAGCUAGGAUGUAAGCCCAAGCUUUCUGACAGCAGAAUCUAUGCUCCUCACACCUGGAGCCCAGAUCUUGGUUUGAAGACACCUCUCCCCACUGAGAAGAGCCACGUUUCUUGGAGAAAUGGCUGAUUCCAGGUCUGGGGCUAGGAAAGACAGGUGAGCCAGGGUCGUCUAGUUCCAGAAAGCAAGCAGGUGUCCAAAAUGAUGGGCAUGUGUCAAGAGCCCCAAAUUCAGCUUUAUGGGACUUGUAAUGGCCAAGUUUGGGACAAGUUUUGCAUGAAAAACGACAGAAGUUGAUUGUUACACAUUAAGGACUAAAAUUCCACAAGUCCAUAGGGACUCUUGAGACAAAGGGAGAGAGGCAAACAAGGAGAGAGAGAGAAAGAAACAAGAAAGAGCUUCUUUAAGAAGAACACCAAGGACCCACAACUAAAAUGUACGACUAUGUACUGGAGGGAUUUGAGGGGGAAAAGCAUGAAAAAAAAAAAAGAAGAUUGGCAACAGUUGUUAGCUCAGGUGCCAAUCUUUAAAAAAAAAAAAGGAAAACCAGCUAAUCUAGGAGUAACAGAAUGAAAGACUCAGGAAAAGUAUCGCUUUUAAACUUGCAAUUUAGCAAUCAUUUCAGGACAGAAUUAGCAAUGGAUGCUGGGACACCUGGGAGAAAGGUCCGACAGGAGAAAUUUGGCCGAGUGCCAACGCGUCCCCCACGGAUGUCUUUCUAAAGCAGAGAGGGUGAAGCGUGCCUCCACAGGGGGCGAUCUGGUGUCACCACCUUAACCAAGUGACAAGCUUCUCUCUGUUGAUCUUGGGGCACGCUCAUAUUGCACACCUCCUAAGGUGGUGCAAUUUGAAAUACAGAGCAUCAUCUGUAAGGGAUCCUUGCCGAAAACGUAAAACAUGAGUCUAAUUUGAAUUAACUAGAAUCUAAUUUAGACCCAAAUUCCAGUUUAUGGAAAAUAUAGGGGACAGAGGCACAAGACACAUGACAACAUGGGGAAGCAAUCAGACAAAUCCAGAACAUGGGACAGUCUACAAGACGACUCGUCCAGACUCUACAAAAAGUCAAUGUCUUAAGAAUCUGUGUGUGUGCGUGUGUGUGUUUGGGGUGGGGGGUGUUGAGGUUAAAAGACGAAACAAAGACAAUAAACAAAUAUAGUGCAUGGAUCUUGCUUGGACGGUGGUUUAAAAUUUUUAAAACGCAGUCAGGACAAAUACGGAAAUUUGAACUUGGAUGUUAGAUGUUCUGGAAUCCUUGUUCAUUUUCUUAGGUAUAAUAAUGGCGCCGUGCUUGUGUAAGGGAAUGCCUUGCUCUCAGACUGAACCAUUUAGUGGUGAAGUCACCAUCUCUGUGACUUUAAAUAGUUCAGAAAAAUACACACACACACAUAUAGAUAAAUAGACAGACAGACGGAUGAACAAAC
ensembl:lncRNA